GAGUUUGAUCUUGGCUCAGAUUGAACGCUGGCGGCAUGCCUUACACAUGCAAGUCGAACGGCAGCACGGGAGCUUGCUCCUGGUGGCGAGUGGCGAACGGGUGAGUAAUGCAUCGGAACGUAUCCUGGAGUGGGGGAUAACGUAGCGAAAGUUACGCUAAUACCGCAUAUUCUGUGAGCAGGAAAGCGGGGGACCUUCGGGCCUCGCGCUCUUGGAGCGGCCGAUGUCGGAUUAGCUAGUUGGUGAGGUAAAGGCUCACCAAGGCGACGAUCCGUAGCAGGUCUGAGAGGAUGAUCUGCCACACUGGAACUGAGACACGGUCCAGACUCCUACGGGAGGCAGCAGUGGGGAAUUUUGGACAAUGGGGGCAACCCUGAUCCAGCCAUGCCGCGUGAGUGAAGGAGGCCUUCGGUUGUAAGACGUCUCUCGCGA
rnacentral:rRNA from 1 species